AAAAACCGGUUCUCGUCCGAUCACCGAAGUUAAGCAGCGUCGAGCUCGGUUAGUACUUGGAUGGGUGACCGCCUGGGAAUACCGGGUGUUGUAG
rnacentral:rRNA from 1 species